rnacentral:rRNA from 1 species
AUUGAACGCUGGCGGCAUGCCUUACACAUGCAAGUCGAACGGCAGCACGGGUGCUUGCACCUGGUGGCGAGUGGCGAACGGGUGAGUAAUACAUCGGAACAUGUCCUGUAGUGGGGGAUAGCCCGGCGAAAGCCGGAUUAAUACCGCAUACGAUCCACGGAUGAAAGCGGGGGACCUUCGGGCCUCGCGCUAUAGGGUUGGCCGAUGGCUGAUUAGCUAGUUGGUGGGGUAAAGGCCUACCAAGGCGACGAUCAGUAGCUGGUCUGUGAGGACGACCAGCCACACUGGGACUGAGACACGGCCCAGACUCCUACGGGAGGCAGCAGUGGGGAAUUUUGGACAAUGGGCGAAAGCCUGAUCCAGCAAUGCCGCGUGUGUGAAGAAGGCCUUCGGGUUGUAAAGCACUUUUGUCCGGAAAGAAAUCCUUGGCUCUAAUACAGUCGGGGGAUGACGGUACCGGAAGAAUAAGCACCGGCUAACUACGUG